rnacentral:sRNA from 1 species
ACCAAAUAAAGAACAUAAGAAAUGAAAGCUGUGUUCAGGACAGCCAUCUUGCGAUAUUGAAGGUGAACUAUACACAGACAGCAUCUGCAUAGAACUCAGGAAAGAUACUGAACAUCCUAAGUCAUUAGGGAUUUCACAUCAAACCAACAAGAGAACUCUACAGCUCAUCUGUGAGAGUGGGAAAAGAGAACAGAGUUAAACCCUAAACACUGACAAUGACAAAUGUUACUGUGAAUCAGGAGAAUUGAGACAUUUCUCCACUGGGAGAAAAAUGCUUGCCAAUCAUAUCUUUGAUGAGGGUCUUGAUGCUGGGAUACUGUCAAAUGUCUUACAACUUAGUGAUACAAAGUCAAAUAACUCAAUUACAAAGGGGCAAAGGAUAGUACUGGAUAUCUCCCCCAAAUGAGUAUGCCAAGAGGUGUGAUGAUACUCAACUUUACUAUAUGUUGGGAUAAUAUAAAUAAAACAGAAGCAGACACCAGUUCAUAACCCACUAAACAUGUUAUAAAUCAACAAUCCAAACCGAGGCAGACAACAGUAUACAGACCACCAAGAAUAAAAACACAAGCAAAAUGACAAACAGUCACACAUGUUGCAGAAUUUAAAGAAGUCGGUGUCCUCCUAUAUGACGGAUGAGAUCGGAAAAUGGUUCUUGAAAAAGAGUUUAGCAGUUAUUUAAAACAACAAAGUGUAACCAUAUAUCCUAGAAACUCUACCAAAGAAAUGCAAAUAUUCACCCACACAAACCCUGUGCACAUCUUCUUAGCAGCGUGGUUUGUUACAGGCCAAAAUGAACAGCAACCCAAGGAACCAUCAAAUAAAUGGAUAGACAAAAUAUGGUCUUUGAGGAUAAUACCACCCUACCCAGUAUGCUUUAAAAGGCACGAAUCACUGAAGGACUGUAAACCCAGGAGUGCAGAGGUAUAGAGUGGCAUCAUCUACUGUAGAGUCACGAAUCCCAGCACCCAUAUAAAAAUCAUAGAGGGCCCUGUGUGCCUAUAACCUCAGUGCUUUGGGGCACAUAGACAGAAGGUUAUCAGCCUAGCUUCAGGUGUAAAAUCACUAUUACCAGAAAUUUAAAUCAACUUGAACCUUGCCAGACGAAUCACAGCUAAGCAGGAAAUAACUAUCAUCUUAACCAUGUUGAAGGAUGUGUCUGGACAUGAACUUCCAAUGUCUGCAAAGUCU